AUAAAGAAACUAUGAUUCAGCCAUUUCCCAGAUGCUGGACAGCAAAGGUGCCUGAUCAGUGGGUGCUGACUGAACCUGACUCAAUGAAGCAAUGGCUCCCAUAGGCCAUAAUGGAAUUCCUUUCUCCACCAUUAACAGCUCACAUCAUUCAGGGCCUGAGAGUGAGUUUGGAGACCUGACAUUUGGAGAGCUGCUUGGACAAACCGAAAGAAAGCCUGGCCCAGAAAAAAAACUCGAACAUCAUCUGGGCUUACAUUUUCAUCUUGCAACUGAGAAAAGGGAGACUGAGGAGCUGAAAUAUUCACACUUGAAAUCCGAAGGGCUUGUAAAAUACAAUUCAGCACCAUGGACAGCAGAAAAAUCCCAUUGACAGAAUAAAUCUGAAGUUUUCCUUUCCGUAUUCA
rnacentral:lncRNA from 13 species